rnacentral:rRNA from 1 species
GACAGAGGGUGCAAACGUUGUUCGGAAUUACUGGGCGUAAAGCGUGCGUAGUCGGUUAUUUAAGUCGGGUGUGAAAGCCCCGGGCUCAACCUGGGAAUUGCAUUCGAGACUGAAUAGCUAGGGUACGGUAGAGGGAAGUGGAAUUUCCGGUGUAGCGGUGAAAUGCGUAGAUAUCGGAAGGAACAUCAGUGGCGAAAGCGACUUCCUGGACCAGUACCGACGUUCAGGCACGAAAGCGUGGGGAGCAAACAGG